UUUGCAAAAACAGUAAGCGCAAAACAGUGUUGGCGACUACUCCAGAACCCUGAAUCUUUGUGUGCACAGGUCUUUAGUGCAAAAUAUUAUCCGGACGGUAAUAUUCUUAGUGCGGGACUAAAAAAAGGUUCCUCUUUUACUUGGCAAAGCAUUGUGAUGGGUAUACAAACUUUUAAAAGAGGAUGCAUCUGGCAGGUUGGCAAAGGCUCACAUAUAAAUAUUUGGAAUGACCCUUGGAUUCCAACGAGCGAGUCAAGGAAAGUUAUCACCCCUAGAGGAGCCACUAUUUUGGGAAAAGUAGAAGAAUCGAUAGACCCGUAUUCAGGCAAGUGGGAUGAAGAGUUGUUGCAUUCAGUUUUCAACCCAGUAGAUGUCUACAGAAUUCUGCAAAUCCCACUUCGGGUAGAGAUGGUGGAGGACUUCAUAGUGUGGCAUCACACAAAAUCAGGAUCGUUCUCAGUUAGAUCA
rnacentral:rRNA from 1 species